rnacentral:misc_RNA from 1 species
GUGAAUUGAAUAUGUUAGCGGACCUCUUCGGAGUCCCUAGCAUCAAACCAUAUCCAUAACACCUGUGAACUGUAAGGCUGUCUUGAAAACGAAAGUGAUUAGAGCGCCUGCCCAUUUUAUACAAACAUUAAAGUAACAAACGUAGUCUUAUUAUAAUCUAAUA